GUUUCUGUGUAUGUAUGGGAUGCAUUGAAUGUGUGUAAGGGGUGCAUUGAGUGUGUGUAAGGAAUGCAUUGUGUGUUUCUGUGUGUGUAAGGGAUGCAUUGUGUGUAACGGUUGCAUUGCUUGUGUAUGUGUGUCUGUGUGUGUAAUGCAUUGUGUGUUUUUCUGUGUGCAAGGGGUGCAUUGUGUGUAUGUGAUGAAUGUCAAUCUCUCCUCCCGCUCCAAUUUCCUUCUCUUCCUCC